rnacentral:rRNA from 1 species
AUUGAACGCUGGCGGCAUGCCUUACACAUGCAAGUCGAACGGCAGCACGGGAGCAAUCCUGGUGGCGAGUGGCGAACGGGUGAGUAAUAUAUCGGAACGUGCCCAGUCGUGGGGGAUAACGUAGCGAAAGCUACGCUAAUACCGCAUACGAUCUAUGGAUGAAAGCGGGGGAUCGCAAGACCUCGCGCGAUUGGAGCGGCCGAUAUCAGAUUAGGUAGUUGGUGAGGUAAAGGCUCACCAAGCAGACGAUCUGUAGCUGGUCUGAGAGGACGACCAGCCACACUGGGACUGAGACACGGCCCAGACUCCUACGGGAGUCAGCAGUGGGGAAUUUUGGACAAUGGGCGCAAGCCUGAUCCAGCAAUGCCGCGUGCAGGAUGAAGGCCUUCGGGUUGUAAACUGCUUUUGUACGGAACGAAACGGUGAGCUCUAAUACAGUUUGCUAAUGACGGUACCGUAAGAAUAAGCACCGGCUAACUACGUGCCAGCAGCCGCGGUAA